CUUCCAUUCUUUUCCAGCAUAUCCUUCAGCCAUGGCAACAAAACCAUCCAAACAAGAGCUUCCUUAUUGGACCAUCAUCCUCAUAUGCUUCUCCGUCUUACUGAGUUCUAUCUUUUUAUUUCUUCUAUGUGUCAUGACUGCUGUCUGGGUGAAGAAGAGAGCAGGCAAGUAUCAGAUCCAAAGGAACAUGUUUGGCCUUUAUUUCCCACACAUGGACAUGCAAAAAUCAUAGUGAUGUGGACUUUGGAAACUUGACUUCUUCCCUGCAAGAAGAUCCUUUUUGCAGAGUUCCAUUUUGCACAUAUUGUGCAGAAACAUAUGUUUACUAUAGCUGGAAUGAAUUUCUUGAUGAAGAAGAGAUACUACAUAUUCUGUGGAAGAAUGCCAGAUUUAGAGAGUGAUGGGGUGCCCUGUCAUAUUUAUUUAUUAUGUGUUGUGAAACUUGGAAUAUCUUUUUAAAUAUCUAUAAAAACUGUAGAGUAGAUUAUUUAAGUUCAAAAAAGAGAGAUUCUGCCUGGAGCAUGGAUCAGUAUUAAACAAGUUGCAUCCUUUUGAGAAUGCAAAGCAUCAGUGAACUCUAUUGCACAUUAAAAAUGUAAAAAAAAGAAAAUAUAUAUUCUUUUGUUCAAUCAGUAAACAUUUCACUUGUUUUUGUUUUUGAAGCAGGAAAUUUUUUCUUCAAAGACAAUUAAGUUGUUGAAAUGGAAGACUUACAGUAUUUUUAUUUGAGCUGCAAUUAUAUUAUAUUGUACUGCACUGUACUGUAGUAUCUGUUUUCAAAAUAAUGUAUCUUGGGUAGAGAUGAUUUUCAAUCCUUUUUUUAAAUAUUUCAAAUGUUCCUGAUUUCUUACAAAUCAAUAAACAUGAGCAAGAAAAUAAAAAUGAAACCUAAACUUCUA